UACAGAGGUCCCAAGCGUUGUUCGGAUUCACUGGGCGUAAAGAGCUCGUAGGCGGUCUGUCGCGUCUGCUGUGAAAACCCGAGGCUCAACCUCGGGCCUGCAGUGGGUACGGGCAGACUAGAGUGCGGUAGGGGAGAAUGGAAUUCCGUGGUGUAGCGGUGGAAUGCGCAGAUAUCAGGAGGAACACCGAUGGCGAAGGCAGGUCUCUGGGCAUUAACUGACGCUGAGGAGCGAAAGCAUGGGGAGCGAACAGG
rnacentral:rRNA from 1 species